GAAAUGCGAUAAGUAAUGUGAAUUGCAGAAUUCAGUGAAUCAUCGAAUCUUUGAACGCACCUUGCGCUCCUUGGUAUUCCUUGGAGCAUGCCUGUUUGAGUAUCAUGAAAUCUUCAAAGUAAAUCUUUUGUUAACUCAAUUGGUUUCUACUUUGGUAUUGGAGGUCUUUGCAGCUUCACACCUGCUCCUCUUUGUUCAUUAGCUAGAUCUCAGUGUUAUGCUUGGUUCCACUCGGCGUGAUAAGUUAUCUAUCGCUGAGGACACUGUAAAAGGUGGCCAAGGUAAAUGCAGAUGAACCGCUUCUAAUAGUCCAUUGACUUGGACAAUACUUUUAUGAUCUGAUCUCAAAUCAGGUAAGACUACCCGCUGAACUUAAGC
rnacentral:misc_RNA from 1 species